rnacentral:rRNA from 1 species
UACAGAGGUGCCGAGCGUUAGGCGGAAUCACUGGGCUUAAAGCGUGUGUAGGCGGAUGGGUAAGUACCUUGUGAAAUCCUACGGCUCAACCGUGGAACUGCUCGGUAUACUGCUCGUCUUGAGCCAACUAGGGGCGACCGGAACAAACGGUGGAGCGGUGAAAUGCGUAGAUAUCGUUUGGAACGCCGAUGGUGAAAACAGGUCGCUGGGGUUGUGCUGACGCUGAGACACGAAAGCCAGGGGAGCGAACGGG